rnacentral:rRNA from 1 species
UCGAACGGGUAGCACAGUAGAGCUUUGCUCUCGGGUGACGAGUGGCGGACGGGUGAGUAAUGUCUGGGAAACUGCCCGAUGGAGGGGGAUAACUACUGGAAACGGUAGCUAAUACCGCAUAAUGUCGCAAGACCAAAGAGGGGGACCUUCGGGCCUCUUGCCAUCGGAUGUGCCCAGAUGGGAUUAGCUAGUAGGUGAGGUAACGGCUCACCUAGGCGACGAUCCCUAGCUGGUCUGAGAGGAUGACCAGCCACACUGGAACUGAGACACGGUCCAGACUCCUACGGGAGGCAGCAGUGGGGAAUAUUGCACAAUGGGCGCAAGCCUGAUGCAGCCAUGCCGCGUGUAUGAAGAAGGCCUUCGGGUUGUAAAGUACUUUCAGCGAGGAGGAAGGCGUUGUGGUUAAUAACCACAGCGAUUGACGUUACUCGCAGAAGAAGCACCGGCUAACUCCGUGCCAGCAGCCGCGGUAAUACGGAGGGUGCAAGCGUUAAUCGGAAUUACUGGGCGUAAAGCGCACGCAGGCGGUCUGUCAAGUCGGAUGUGAAAUCCCCGGGCUCAACCUGGGAACUGCAUCCGAAACUGGCAGGCUAGAGUCUUGUAGAGGGGGGUAGAAUUCCAGGUGUAGCGGUGAAAUGCGUAGAGAUCUGGAGGAAUACCGGUGGCGAAGGCGGCCCCCUGGACAAAGACUGACGCUCAGGUGCGAAAGCGUGGGGAGCAUACAGGAUUAGAUACCCUGGUAGUCCACGCCGUAAACGAUGUCGACUUGGAGGUUGUGCCCUUGAGGCGUGGCUUCCGGAGCUAACGCGUUAAGUCGACCGCCUGGGGAAGUACGGCCGCAAGGUUAAAACUCAAAUGAAUUGAC